rnacentral:rRNA from 1 species
AUUGAACGCUGGCGGCAUGCUUUACACAUGCAAGUCGAACGGCAGCACGGGGGCAACCCUGGUGGCGAGCGGCGAACGGGUGAGUAAUAUAUCGGAACGUACCCGGAAAUGGGGGAUAACGUAGCGAAAGUUACGCUAAUACCGCAUAUGCCCUGAGGGGGAAAGUGGGGGAUCCGCAAGGACCUCACGUUUUCGGAGCGGCCGAUAUCAGAUUAGCUAGUAGGUGAGGUAAAGGCUCACCUAGGCGACGAUCUGUAGCUGGUCUGAGAGGACGACCAGCCACACUGGAACUGAGACACGGUCCAGACUCCUACGGGAGGCAGCAGUGGGGAAUUUUGGACAAUGGGCGCAAGCCUGAUCCAGCCAUGCCGCGUGAGUGAAGAAGGCCUUCGGGUUGUAAAGCUCUUUCAGCCGGAAAGAAAACGCACGGGUUAAUAACCUGUGCGGAUGACGGUACCGGAAGAAGAAGCACCGGCUAACUACGUGCCAGCAGCCGCGGUAAUACGUAGGGUGCGAGCGUUAAUCGGAAUUACUGGGCGUAAAGCGUGCGCAGGCGGUUUUGUAAGACAGAUGUGAAAUCCCCGGGCUUAACCUGGGAACUGCAUUUGUGACUGCAAGACUAGAGUGCGGCAGAGGGGGGUAGAAUUCCACGUGUAGCAGUGAAAUGCGUAGAUAUGUGGAGGAAUACCGAUGGCGAAGGCAGCCCCCUGGGAUGACACUGACGCUCAUGCACGAAAGCGUGGGGAGCAAACAGGAUUAGAUACCCUGGUAGUCCACGCCCUAAACGAUGUCAACU